rnacentral:rRNA from 1 species
GACGAACGCUGGCGGCGUGCUUAACACAUGCAAGUCGAACGGAAAGGCCCUGCUGUUGUGGGGUGCUCGAGUGGCGAACGGGUGAGUAACACGUGAGUAACCUGCCCUUGACUUUGGGAUAACUUCAGGAAACUGGGGCUAAUACCGGAUAGGAGCUCCUGCUGCAUGGUGGGGGUGGGAAAGGUUCGGCGGUUGGGGAUGGACUCGCGGCAUAUCAGCUUGUGGGUGGGGUAGUGGCGUAACAAGGCUUUGACGGGGAGCCGGCCUGAGAGGGUGACCGGCCCCAUUGGGACUGGGGUACGGCCCAGACUCCUACGGGCGGCAUCGGUGGGGAAUAUUGCGCACUGGGCGGAAGCCUGAUGCAGCAACGCCGCGUGCGGAAUGACGGCCUUCGGGUUGUAAACCGCUUUCGCCUGUGACGAAGCGUGAGUGACGGUAAUGGGUAAAGAAGCACCGGCUAACUACGUG